CCUACGGGGGGCAGCAGUGAGGAAUAUUGGUCAAUGGGCGCGAGCCUGAACCAGCCAAGUCGCGUGAGUGAAGACGGUCCUAUGGAUUGUAAACCUCUUUUGUCGGGGAGCAAAAGACUCCACGCGUGGCGUUCCGAGAGUACCCGAAGAAAAAGCAUCGGCUAACUCCGUGCCAGCAGCCGCGGUAAUACGGAGGAUGCGAGCGUUAUCCGGAUUUAUUGGGUUUAAAGGGUGCGCAGGCGGAAGAUCAAGUCAGCGGUAAAAUUGAGAGGCUCAACCUCUUCGAGCCGUUGAAACUGGUUAUCUUGAGUGAGCGAGAGGUAUGCGGAAUGCGUGGUGUAGCGGUGAAAUGCAUAGAUAUCACGCAGAACCCCGAUUGCGAAGGCAGCAUACCGGCGCUCAACUGACGCUCAGGCACGAAAGUGUGGGUAUCGAACAGGAUUAGAUACCCGAGUAGUC
rnacentral:rRNA from 1 species